AUGGUCACUUUAGCAUAUAUACUAAAAUUGGAACAAUACAGAGAAGAUUAGCUUGGCCCUUGCACAGGGAUGACACAAAAAUUCAUGAGCAUUCAAAAAAAAAA
ensembl:snRNA U6 U6 spliceosomal RNA